UUUUUUAUGUUUAAAAAAAUCUUGAUAUUAUUAGGAAUGCUUGGGUAACAAUUCUUAAUUGGAGAUGCAGCAUUUUUAACAAAAUGUUGUGAAUACUGUUUAAUACAAUUUAUCAAGCCAUAAUAUUUCAGAAAGUCUGUACGUAUGUGAUAUUCGUCCUGGAAUUUGGUCAGAGAAAAAUAUUCUCCAGCUUCAUCUAAUAAAUCAUUUACAAUGUGUACACCUUUGUCAUACCAGUCUUUGUAGAAAAC
rnacentral:lncRNA from 1 species